UCUUUUCUAAGUCAUUUAUUCGAAGUCCCUCAAACUCAAGGGCCCUCUCCACUUUCUUGACACUAUCGACUAAUGUCUUCACCGCCUUGUCCAUCAUCUUUUCAAAGUUACUGGUUGCCUCUUUAAGAAGGCCUGCCAGUUCUGUACCUGUAUUUCCAGCAGGCUGAGGAGGGACCUCCACGCCUGCAGGGACGGUAGUAUUGUCCUCUAGUUCAUCGUUCAACAGUUUGUAGUUUGAGCGUGU